rnacentral:pre_miRNA from 15 species
UGGGCACGAGGCCCCCUCCGGCCGCAGGGGAGCCACUGACUAACGCACAUUGCGCUCAGGACCCACUGUGCGUGUGACAGCGGCUACCGUGCAACCGGCCCGCAGCUGGACUGAGGA